rnacentral:rRNA from 1 species
AACGAACGCUGGCGGCAUGCCUAACACAUGCAAGUCGAACGAGACCUUCGGGUCUAGUGGCGCACGGGUGCGUAACGCGUGGGAACCUGCCCUUAGGUUCGGAAUAACUCCCGAAAGGGGUGCUAAUACCGGAUAAUGUCUUCGGACCAAAGAUUUAUCGCCUUUGGAUGGGCCCGCGUUGGAUUAGCUAGUUGGUAGGGUAAAAGCCUACCAAGGCGACGAUCCAUAGCUGGUCUGAGAGGAUGAUCAGCCACACUGGGACUGAGACACGGCCCAGACUCCUACGGGAAGCAGCAGUGGGGAAUAUUGGACAAUGGGCGAAAGCCUGAUCCAGCAAUGCCGCGUGAGUGAUGAAGGCCUUAGGGUUGUAAAGCUCUUUUACCCGGGAUGAUAAUGACAGUACCGGGAGAAUAAGCGCCGGCUAACUCCGUG